rnacentral:piRNA from 1 species
UUGGUGACAGACAUUCCUUCCACCUUGA